rnacentral:rRNA from 1 species
UACGUAGGCAGCGAGCGUUGUUCGGAGUUACUGGGCGUAAAGCGUGCGUAGGCGGUGUCUUAAGUUUGUUGUGAAAUCUCCCGGCUCAACUGGGAGGGUGCGGCGAAUACUGAGAUGCUGGAGUGCGGGAGAGGUAAGCGGAAUUCCUGGUGUAGCGGUGAAAUGCGUAGAUAUCUGGAGGAACACCGGUGGCGAAGGCGGCAUCCUGGACCGGCAUUGACGCUGAGGCGCGAAAGCCAGGGGAGCAAACGGG